UGCCAUGGACUCGCUGACGGAUUUGGACUU
rnacentral:piRNA from 2 species